AUGCCGCCGGCGCCGGCGUACGCCGUCCUCGCUGCAGCAUUCAGGACCAGAAACCCCAUCUGCGUCCCUAGGUGGCUUGCUGUUCUUGGUUCGCGCACGCCAACUGUUCGACAGAAUGCGUUGGAGGUGCUUCCUGAUGCAGCCUUGCCUCCACGCUUCCACCCAAGCAUUGUUCCAAGAGGAUAUCUUCUCGGGUCACCAAGGCUUUGCCAUAGCAGUGCUUCAGAGGAGGAUUCCCUAGAUGUCCGCGUCGGUGAAGUUCUGAGAGUUCUCAAGUCCUGUGCUGCCGAUGCUGACCUCAGCAAAGACCUUCGUCAGUUUGCCGAUGAGAUGGACGAGGACGUUGUUCUGAAAGUCCUCCAGAAGCAGAGGUCCAAUUGGCAGGUCGCGCUGUUGUUCUUCAAUUGGGCUGCCAGGCUGCCUUCGUAUGAGCACGGCCCGAGGACCUACACUGAGAUGCUUGACAUCCUUGGGCGGAUGAAGAAGGUCAGGCUUAUGAGACAGCUCUUCGAUGAGAUUCCUGAACAACGCCGUGGGUUGGUCGUAACGAACAGGAUGUUUGCUGUCUUGUUGAACCGGUAUGCAGGGGCGCACAAGGUGCAAGAAGCGAUCGAGAUAUUCUACAAGAGGAAGGAUUAUGGGUUCGAGGUUGACUUGGUUGGAUUCCAGAUACUUCUGAUGUCGCUCUGUCGGUACAAGCAUGUUGAGGAGGCUGAGGCCCUCUUUCUCCAGAAGAAAGAUGAGUUUCCUCCUGUCAUAAAGAGCUGGAACAUCAUUCUUAAUGGUUGGUGUGUCAAGGGAAGCCUGGCUGAUGCUAAAAGGGUUUGGAACGAGAUCAUUGCAUCUAAACUUAAGCCGGACCUGUUCACAUAUGGUACGUUCAUAAAUGCACUAACCAAAGCUGGCAAACUUAGUACGGCUGUGAAACUAUUCACAAGCAUGUGGGAGAAGGGAAUCAAUCCCGACGUGGCAAUUUGCAACUGUAUCAUUGACCAGUUGUGCUUCAAGAAAAAGAUUCCAGAAGCACUUAAGAUUUUUGGUGAGAUGAAUGACCGUGGUUGUCAAGCAGAUGUGGCCACCUACAACACUUUGAUCAAACACUUCUGUAAGAUAAGGCGGACGGAAAAAGUUUAUGAGCUUUUGGAUGAUAUGGAGAAGAAGGGAUGCUCUCCAAACAACAUGACAUACACCUACAUUCUGAAGACAACUGAGAAACCGAGAGAUGUUAUGAAUUUGAUCCAGAGGAUGGAGGAAUCAGGUUGUAAGUUGGACUCUGAUACGUAUAACUUAAUAUUGAACCUGUAUGUCAGUAUGAAAUAUGAGAAGGGGGUACAGCAAGUAUGGGAGGAGAUGGAGAGGAAUGGAUCAGGUCCAGAUCAGCGAUCAUUUACUAUUAUGGUCCAUGGACUUCAUUCCCAGGGACAGCUGGACCAGGCUUUGCAAUAUUACACGACAAUGAAGUCGAGAGGGAUGACUCCAGAGCCAAGAACCAGGAUAUUGGUGAAAGCAAUACAUAUGAAGAAGGAUGGGCCUGAGACUGAAGAUCGAUCCCCAAGUAUGACUGGGAAAAAUCUAAAAUUGGAUCGUCGAUCAGGACUUUUCCAUGUUCGUAAAUAG
rnacentral:rRNA from 1 species